rnacentral:rRNA from 1 species
UACGUAGGAGGCAAGCGUUGUCCGGAAUUACUGGGCGUAAAGCGCGUGUAGGUGGUGGGACAAGUCUGCUGUGAAAGCGCCUGGCUUAACCGGGCGAGGUCGGCGGAAACUGCCUCACUUGAGGACGGUAGAGGGGGGUGGAAUUCCCGGUGUAGUGGUGAAAUGCGUAGAGAUCGGGAGGAACACCUGUGGCGAAGGCGGCCCCCUGGGCCGGCCCUGACACUGAGACGCGAAGGCGUGGGGAGCGAACAGG